rnacentral:sRNA from 12 species
CAGAACGGUUGAUUCGUCCCGGCUGAUGAGCGAGUGCGUAUACAUCGGAAACGGAAUUUGAGAUACAAAAUUCCGAAUGGCGGAGC